GGAUCCAGACUUUGAUCAUGGCUCAGGACGAACGCUGGCGGCGCGCCUAACACAUGCAAGUCGAACGGAGCUUAGAGAGCCUGCUUUUUAAGCUUAGUGGCGAACGGGUGAGUAACGCGUGAGUAACCUGCCCUAGAGUGGGGGACAACAGUUGGAAACGACUGCUAAUACCGCAUAAGCCCACGGUACCGCAUGGUACUGAGGGAAAAGGAUUUAUUCGCUUUAGGAUGGACUCGCGUCCAAUUAGCUAGUUGGUGAGGUAACGGCCCACCAAGGCGACGAUUGGUAGCCGGACUGAGAGGUUGAACGGCCACAUUGGGACUGAGACACGGCCCAGACUCCUACGGGAGGCAGCAGUGGGGGAUAUUGCACAAUGGGGGAAACCCUGAUGCAGCGACGCCGCGUGGAGGAAGAAGGUUUUCGGAUUGUAAACUCCUGUCGUUAGGGACGAUAAUGACGGUACCUAACAAGAAAGCACCGGCUAACUACGUGCCAGCAGCCGCGGUAAAACGUAGGGUGCAAGCGUUGUCCGGAAUUACUGGGUGUAAAGGGAGCGCAGGCGGGAAGACAAGUUGGAAGUGAAAACCAUGGGCUCAACCCAUGAAUUGCUUUCAAAACUGUUUUUCUUGAGUAGUGCAGAGGUAGAUGGAAUUCCCGGUGUAGCGGUGGAAUGCGUAGAUAUCGGGAGGAACACCAGUGGCGAAGGCGGUCUACUGGGCACCAACUGGCGCUGAGGCUCGAAAGCAUGGGUAGCAAACAGGAUUAGAUACCCUGGUAGUCCAUGCCGUAAACGAUGAUUACUAGGUGUUGGGGGAUUGGCCCCCUCAGUGCCGCAGUUAACACAAUAAGUAAUCCACCUGGGGAGUACGACCGCAAGGUUGCAACUCAAAUGAAUUGACGG
rnacentral:rRNA from 1 species